UACGAGAGGUGCAAGCGUUAUUCGGAAUUAUUGGGCGUAAAGGGCGCGUAGGCGGGUCAUUAAGUUUGUUGUUAAAUCCUCUGGCUUAACCAGAGACAAGCAAUAAAAACUGGUAACCUAGAGCGUGAGAGAGAGAAGUGGAAUUCCCGGAGUAGCGGUAAAAUGCGUAGAUCUCGGGAGGAACACCAAUGGCGAAGGCUGCUUCUUGGCUCAUUGCUGACGCUGAGGCGCGAAAGCUAGGGGAGCAAACAGG
rnacentral:rRNA from 1 species